CCCCUACAUAGGUACAAUACAUGUAGCCCCCUACAUAGGUAUAAUACAUGUAGCCCCCUACAUAGGUAUAAUACAUGUAGCCCCCUACAUAGGUAUAAUACAUGUAGCCCCUACAUAGGUACAAUACAUGUAGCCUCAUACAUAGG